ACACCUCCUCUCCUCCUACAGAAGCAGUGGAAUCUCUUUUUAAGUCACAGGUCUCAACACACACUGACAACAUGCUGGCGACUCUCUGUGCUCUCAUCACUGCUCUAACAUGUGUGAGUGGUGUGACGGUGCUGACACAGAAACCUCCUGUUGUAUCAGUGAGGAAAGGAGAGACAGCCACCAUGGACUGUAACCUGGGGACUGCUGAUUACUAUGUCUUUUGGUAUAAACAGAUUUCAGGAGGAGUUCCUCAGUUUGUGCUGUGGUUUCGUUAUGACUAUAGUGGUCCAACCUAUGGCUCUGGGUUCUCUGCUCCAAAAUUCACAUCCACUCAUCAGUCAACAUCAGAUUAUCAUUUGAUCAUCAGCAAUGUGGAGGAGGGAGACUCUGCAGUCUAUUACUGUCAGACAUGGGACAGCUCUGUGAAUGAGUACGCAUCACAGUGAUUUACACUGUGACAAAAACCUCCCCACUGAUACUUCUGCUUUUUGAUGCUCUUUUUUUCACAUGCUGACAAAAGACCCAUUCAACAAACUCAGUGUAAACUCACCACCUUCAGAUAGUGUGUUUAUUGUUAUGUUUUAUUUAUUUUAAUGUUCAUCAAUG